rnacentral:rRNA from 1 species
UCGGAUUGUAGUCUGNAACCCGACUACAUGAAGCUGGAAUCGCUAGUAAUCGCGGAUCAGAAUGCCGCGGUGAAUACGUUCCCGGGUCUUGUACACACCGCCCGUCACACCAUGGGAGUCGGAAAUGCCCGAAGUCUGUGACCCAACCUACGGGAGGGAGCAGCCGAAGGCAGGUCGGAUGACUGGGGUGAAGUCGUAACAAGGUACC